rnacentral:lncRNA from 1 species
GGCGUUUUCUUCGGUUUCACUUCCGGUAGGAGAGUCCCAAACGGCCAGCGGCUGGGAAUUUGCGGUGGGAAGGAUACGAGCAAGAUAAAGCAGCGAGGGAUUUAAGUCUGGCAACAGUUGGACUGCUGGAUUUUCAGAGAAGUGUUCCCCAAAGCAAAUUAUAGUGCUAAUUUCCAAUGUUCCAUAAGCGUGGCAAGAAAAAUGGGAAGUUCUCGGUAAGGUAUAUAGUAUUAUUUCUAGAAAUAAAGAUGAACCAAUCCAAGAUUGAUUUUUUGUUUGUUUAAUCCUGGCAGUAUUCUUAACUAAAUUGUAUUCAUUCUUCCCUUUACUUUCCAGACUUUUUAAUUUUAUUUAUUUUUUUAUUUUUUGAGACAGAGUCUUGCCCAGGCUGGAGUGCAGUGCCACAAUCUUGGCUCACUGCAACCUCUGCCUCCCUGGUUCAAGCGUUUCUCCUGCCUCACCCUCCCAAGUAGCUGGGACUACAGGCACGUGCCAUCACGCCAGGCUAAUUUUUGCAUUUUUAGUACAGAUGGGGUUUUACAUAUUGAUCAGGCUGGUCUUGGACUCCUGACUUGGUGAUCCACCCGCCUCAGCCUCCCAAAGUGUUGGGAUUACAGGCAUGAGCCACUGCGCCAGGCCACUUUCCAGAUACUAUAGUCCCUAAUUUAUUGUGUCUCAAAUGCCAAAUA